rnacentral:lncRNA from 1 species
UUCAACCUUCCGCUUGGUCUCUCCUGGUUUCUUACCAUCAUUCACUCGCUUGCAACAGAGGAUGCCUUACGCAGCGCCUCUUCCUGCCAUCAGCAUGGGGACCAGGCUGCUUUCCUGGGCCUAGAAGUCAUUACACAAAACCCUUCUUUCGUUCAAAACAGAUCCUCAUUGUGGAGAACCUUUGGUUCUCAGGUGAAACCGGCGCCUCUGUAAAUAGCUGCUGGGGGAAACUGCUUUCGUGGGUGGAAGCGAGGCUGGUGUGUGAGUUUUAGCAUCAACAACCAUCUGCUCUUGGCUGUGGCAGAGGUUUCCAUGCCGUAUACCCUGCAAUGGAGGAAUUCCCUUUUCAGUCCUGCUGUGAGCAAGAAGAGAGAUCCCAGCAGCAAUUUCAAUUUCACCAGCACGUCAGGCAGAAGACAGCAAAUUGAAAAAGAUCCUCAAAAUUCUGGCGUAUUUCUAGUGCUGUCCAUGUACGUGACCUUGGAGGUGAUGAGAGAUUGUUGUCAGCUGCAUCGCGUCACAUCCAGUCAAUGAACCCGCAGCUUAACGAGCUAAUCUAGGUUCUGAUGGAAAAGAGACAGGCAGCCCCUGACAUCAGGGAGCCACAUGGCACACCCAGCCUGGUCUUGGCGUUCUCCUGCUGAGCACAAAUGACGUCACAGAACAUCAGCAUCCGCAUCAGACUGUGCCCACCACAGAGUAAGACCAAAACCACCCAUGGCGCAUCUGAACACAGAUCAACCGAAGAACCAAGCCACAGAAUGACAAUCACCCACCAUCCUGGCUGACAGGAGUGCAUCCCCACCAGACUGUGCCGGGUGGUGGAGGGAAGAUCGCGCCUGAGGGGUGGCAGAUCUGCUGUCCCCCAGGGGAAGGUUGUCCUUAUCCCCUCGCUGGGUAUUCUGCCAACUUCUAGAGUGGACGAGCUCAUGUUCUGUUCCCUCUCUGCUAGUCAGGGCCUGGUUUUGUCCAUGUGCCUCCUCCAGGUUCAGAAGAGCAACUGAGUCCCCUGAGCCUCUGUCCUGUCCUCCUUCAGCUGAUGCCGGUAGAAUCCAGUUCAGCCCCCCAGGGUGUGGCCUCAGCCACUGGUCCUGGCCACCUGGGAGCUGCCAGAGACUCAACCAUUCAAACCCAAAGCACUCUCUCUGACCAUGCUGCUGACCCUCUGAAAUAUGUUGGGCCACCUUAUGUCUGUCUAGCAUAGCCCCCUUUCAGUCAGAUCCGGGAAGGGGAAAUGAGAACCACAGUUUCCCAUAAACUUCUCCCAUGGGUGAGGAGGGGGGCCCACCUACUCUCCUUACAUUAAAGUCCAUG